UACGUAGGGUGCAAGCGUUGUCCGGAAUUAUUGGGCGUAAAGAGCUCGUAGGCGGUCUGUCACGUCGGCUGUGAAAACACGGGGCUCAACUCCGUGCCUGCAGUCGAUACGGGCAGACUAGAGUUCGGUAGGGGAGACUGGAAUUCCUGGUGUAGCGGUGAAAUGCGCAGAUAUCAGGAGGAACACCGGUGGCGAAGGCGGGUCUCUGGGCCGAAACUGACGCUGAGGAGCGAAAGCGUGGGGAGCGAACAGG
rnacentral:rRNA from 1 species